rnacentral:miRNA from 1 species
UGUCUCGGAAAUUUGCACCCU